rnacentral:rRNA from 1 species
CCUACGGGCGGCAGCAGUGGGGAAUAUUGCACAAUGGGGGAAACCCUGAUGCAGCGACGCCGCGUGAGUGAAGAAGUAUUUCGGUAUGUAAAGCUCUAUCAGCAGGGAAGAAAUAGCGACCUUUGGGUCGCCAGACGGUACCUGACUAAGAAGCCCCGGCUAACUACGUGCCAGCAGCCGCGGUAAUACGUAGGGGGCAAGCGUUAUCCGGAUUUACUGGGUGUAAAGGGAGCGCAGGCGGCGCGGUAAGUCUGAUGUGAAAGCCCGGGGCUCAACCCCGGGACUGCAUUGGAAACUGUCGUGCUGGAGUGUCGGAGGGGCAAGUGGAAUUCCUAGUGUAGCGGUGAAAUGCGUAGAUAUUAGGAGGAACACCAGUGGCGAAGGCGGCCUGCUGGACAGUAACUGACGUUGAGGCUCGAAAGCGUGGGGAGCAAACAGGAUUAGAUACCCGAGUAGUC